GAUGAACGCUAGCGGCAGGCCUAACACAUGCGAGUCGAGGGGUAGAAGGAGCUUGCUCCUUUGAGACCGGCGCACGGGUGCGUAACGCGUAUGCAAUCUACCUUGUACAGGGGAAUAGCCCAGAGAAAUUUGGAUUAAUGCCCCAUAGUAUAUAACCUUCGCAUGUUGGUUAUAUUAAAGUUCCAACGGUACAAGAUGAGCAUGCGUCCCAUUAGUUAGUUGGUAAGGUAACGGCUUACCAAGACGAUGAUGGGUAGGGGUCCUGAGAGGGAGAUCCCCCACACUGGUACUGAGACACGGACCAGACUACUACGGGAGGCAGCAGUGAGGAAUAUUGGUCAAUGGUCGCAAGACUGAACCAGCCAUGCCGCGUGCAGGAAGACGGUCCUAUGGAUUGUAAACUGCUUUUAUACAGGAAGAAACCCUCCCACGUGUGGGAGCUUGACGGUACUGUAGGAAUAAGGAUCGGCUAACUCCGUG
rnacentral:rRNA from 1 species